AGGGGCUCCGGGGCCGAGGGGCGGCCGCGCGCGCGCCACGGGCCCCGACGCCGCGAGCCGCGAGGGAGCCGCCGGCCGCACGAUCCGCCCCGGCGCGGCCGCCUCGCCAAACAGUUAUUACGGAAACAUGAAUGUCGGGAAGCUAGCUCCCAGCCCGGAGCUUGAACUUGAACGCCUGCUGGCCCUCGCACACGACCACACCGCCACCUCCCGGCCAGGAACCCAGAUCAUGCACGUACAAAGCCGUGAACAAGAGAAACUUAAAAGGACACCGAUCUUCACCAAGUCAUUGACAGAAACGGGGUCCGUGCCGUGUGGCAUCAGCCUCCCAGUUGCCCGUGGAUCCCUCCCCCAUCCUCUGCUGAGCACCCCCAGCCCUCAAGGUGGCCUGGACCCCGUGGAAAGCCCUGGCUCUCCACCCACAGUCGUCGUUCGUGCGAUCACACAUCUGACUUUGUGCCUCCCGUGCUCAACACCCUUCACUGGCUCCCCAUUUCCAUCUGCGUGUGGUCCCCCAUCCGUAACUCGGUGUGUGACACAGCCCCUGGCGGGUCAGAACCUGUAACGUCACCCCUCGUCAGGCUCCUCGGAUGCACAGCUUCGUUUU